ACACUUUUUUUCCGAGAUAUGAUAUUAGUGUAUUUUUAUUUUAAUCGGAUUUUUAUUCCUUCACAAUUGUUACUUAUCUUACCUCUUCACUACCUAUAUAAUAUAAAACUGUGGCCACAGCGUCAGCUAUAUAAACCAGUGUAAACGUGCAGUACUUGGCAUAUUAUUCUGCAGUCAGUUUUCUGUUCGUCGGUUUAUUUUUGUUAAUUUUUGACAAUUGUAUACUAUAGUUAGCUCGUGUUUACUUCGUCCUUAUACCCGCUAUUCGGUUUUCUAAGCAGACAAUUAAAUUCGUUCAAAACUGUUCAGACAUGGGAGAUUACGUUU